rnacentral:rRNA from 1 species
GACGAACGCUGGCGGCGUGCUUAACACAUGCAAGUCGAACGGAAAGGCCCUGCUUUUGUGGGGUGCUCGAGUGGCGAACGGGUGAGUAACACGUGAGUAACCUGCCCUUGACUUUGGGAUAACUUCAGGAAACUGGGGCUAAUACCGGAUAGGAGCUCCUGCUGCAUGGUGGGGGUUGGAAAGUUUCGGCGGUUGGGGAUGGACUCGCGGCUUAUCAGCUUGUUGGUGGGGUAGUGGCUUACCAAGGCUUUGACGGGUAGCCGGCCUGAGAGGGUGACCGGCCACAUUGGGACUGAGAUACGGCACAGACUCCUACGGGAGGAAGCAGUGGGGAAUAUUGAACAAUGGGCGGAAGCCUGAUGCAGCAACGCCGCGUGCGGGAUGACGGCCUUCGGGUUGUAAACCGCUUUCGCCUGUGACGAAGCGUGAGUGACGGUAAUGGGUAAAGAAGCACCGGCUAACUACGUG